GAGUUUGAUCGUGGCUCAGAUUGAACGCUGGCGGCAUGCCUUACACAUGCAAGUCGAACGGCAGCACGGGAGCUUGCUCCUGGUGGCGAGUGGCGAACGGGUGAGUAAUGCAUCGGAACGUAUCCUGGAGUGGGGGAUAACGUAGCGAAAGUUACGCUAAUACCGCAUAUUCUGUGAGCAGGAAAGCGGGGGACCUUCGGGCCUCGCGCUCUUGGAGCGGCCGAUGUCGGAUUAGCUAGUUGGUGAGGUAGAGGCUCACCAAGGCGACGAUCCGUAGCAGGUCUGAGAGGAUGAUCUGCCACACUGGAACUGAGACACGGUCCAGACUCCUACGGGAGGCAGCAGUGGGGAAUUUUGGACAAUGGGGGCAACCCUGAUCCAGCCAUGCCGCGUGAGUGAAGAAGGCCUCGGUUGUAAG
rnacentral:rRNA from 2 species